rnacentral:rRNA from 1 species
UACGGGGGGGCAAGCGUUGUUCGGAAUUACUGGGCGUAAAGGGCUCGUAGGUGGCCAACUAAGUCGGACGUGAAAUCCCUCGGCUUAACCGGGGAACUGCGUCUGAUACUGGAUGGCUUGAGUUCGGGAGAGGGAUGCGGAAUUCCAGGUGUAGCGGUGAAAUGCGUAGAUAUUGGGAAGAACACCAGUGGCGAAGGCGGCUAACUGGUCCAGUACUGACGCUGAGGUGCGAAAAGCGUGGGGAGCAAACAGGG